rnacentral:SRP_RNA from 2 species
UAUUGGUCCUCUCGCAACAAUAGCAGGUGAACUUGGUCAGGCCCGGAAGGGAGCAGCCACAGCGUGUGACUUGUGUGCCGGGAUGCGGCUGGUAGGA